rnacentral:rRNA from 1 species
UACGAAGGGGACUAGCGUUGUUCGGAAUCACUGGGCGUAAAGCGCACGUAGGCGGAUUCGUAAGUCAGGGUGAAAUCCCGGGGCUCAACCUCGGAACUGCCUUUGAUACUGCGGGUCUUGAGUCCGAUAGAGGUGGGUGGAAUUCCUAGUGUAGAGGUGAAAUUCGUAGAUAUUAGGAAGAACACCGGUGGCGAAGGCGGCCCACUGGAUCGGUACUGACGCUGAGGUGCGAAAGCGUGGGAGCAAACAGG